UAAAGAGUCGUACAAAAACCUCCGUCAGUCAGAGUCACAGUGACUGAACUGAUACUGCAGCUGCUCAAAGGAGGAUCUGAAACAACAUCGUCACACAAACAUCAGAAAUAAAACCAUCUAAAUUAAUCUGCCACUCUUAAUAAUUAUAGAGGUCAGAAAGAGAUUUUGUCAGUAACACGUUUGAGAUCUGAGUGAUUUCAGUUGCCGCCUUUUAUUAAUAAUAGAUAUUAAUUUUCAUAAUUCUCCAUGUUUGUUUCAUUUGAGUAUCCCGGUACAUGUAAUUUGUACUGCAGACAGUAAGAGUUUCAUAUUAGCCUGCUAUUUUAAAGGGAUAGUUCACCCAAAACUGAAAAUUACCCCAUGAUUUACUCACCCUCAAGCCAUCCUAGGUGUAUAUGACAUUCUUCUUUUAGACGAAUACAAUCGGAGUUAUAUUAAAUAAUGUCCAGGCUAAUCCAUGCUUUAUAAUGGGAGUGGAUGGUGGGUCAAAUUCUAAAGACAGAAAAAAUGCACCCAUCAGUUAUAAAAGAAGUCCACACGACUCCGGAGGGGUUCAUAAAGGUCUUCUGAAGCGAAGCGAUGCGUUUGUGUAAGAAAAAUAUCCAUAUUUAAAACUUUAUAAACUGUAAUUUCUAGCUUCCGCUAACUGUCAUACGCGCGUUCACGAGAGAGUAGCAUCCCAGCUUAUGAUGAAGGACGCAGGCGCAGUGUGAGCUCCGGUGACGAACACGGAAGCGCAGGGGAGAGAGCAAAACAAAACACCGGUCACGAAUUAAAAGUACAAAACUAGGAUUUGUAAAGAAAAAUGUCGGAGGAUUUCAAUAUAAGCCAAGAGGAGACUGAGUUUUUUGCCCAGCCAUAUUUGUUUGAACCGGAGUAUACCGACCAGGAACUCCGGGAGAUGAAGGAGGCUGCAGCGGCACAAACAACAGAAUUGAGGAGACGGAGAGCUCACGACCCCUUAUUUACACUGCGCGCGUCUGCGGUGUCCGUCAAAAAUAGACUUGCCGCCUAUCUUUAGUGAAGCGGUGAGGCACAGCUGGUGUAAACACAAGCAUUGAUUAGAGUGGCCGCAGAUCAGCUCCGGUAGCCGCGUCGCAGCCGUAAAUCGUUUCCGUGGUGGUAUUCGAAGCUAUUCCAACAGAGGUUGAGAGAGUUUGCUGCCGCGAAUGUGUGAUUGGAGUGCCACCUUUAGACUUUUUUGAUGCUGCCGGUGAGAGGACUGAUCGCUGCUGUGUAACACAAUAUAAAGGAUUUCUGUCUUUGUUGAGCCAAAGUGUAGCCUACUCGAAGUAGUAUUCUCCUUACCUCGUAUAAAACUGGAGGCGUCGACCAAGGCCUGAAGGACCUGGUGGUGUACUGUCUGUGGAGUAAAUAUUUUUUUGUGUGUAAAUAUUAUGGUGUUAUAGAUGUGGGCUAGCUGUAUUCACUCUAUGCAUUUGUUUUAUAGUCAGCUCAGGUUGGUGGCAUACCGAGUUGUGCUAGUUUUAAAUGUUAAAUUGCAUGUAGAGAUUAAAAAAAUUAUUAAAAAAAAACUUUACAACAGUUACAUGAGCGAUUACUUCACUUCAUAUAGCAAUCUUAUUACAGUAUUUGUUGAAUAUAUACCUCAUUUGGCUGAAACAACAGCGCAGGCAUAGGCACAUCUGACCAUUUUUAGAAGUCAUCUUGUACUUCCACUCUUUGCUGCCUUGUAAUCCUCGGACCUAAAAUAUUGACUGCACAACACGCGUUGAUAUAAUUUUUCCACAGGUGUAUUUACAUCCCAGCGAAUAGCGAGCAGCCAUAGCUUUAAUCGCUCAGGAUCCUUUACAGCGAAUUUGUAAAAUGUAAUGGCGCAUCUCCCUUUGAUGUUGGCGCAUGUAAUCUCAAGACUUUAGCUUUGUUGUAGCAACCUGGAUAUUCACAAGGUAUAUAAUAUAAAAUAUUUUCACUGGAGCUCACACUGCGCCUGCGUCCUACAUCAUAAGCUGGGACACUACUCUCUCGUGAACGCACGUAUGACAGUUAGUGGAAGCUAGAGUUUACGGUUUAUAAAGUUUUAAAUAUGGAUAUUUUGCACUCUGCACUGGUCUGAACCUUUUCUGUGACCUCUGACCCAUCCAGCGUCCAGCUCACCAGCACCCCCAGUAUGUAAGGGAAUGUGCGUGUUUUGGUUCAGUGUUGUGACCGCGUUAUCUGACAUGACACAGUUCAGAAAGUCUCAGAGAAGGUCUGAUGAUGUUAUUUUUACAGAAUAAACUCGACCUGUAUUCAACCCCCUGAUGUGUUUUAAACACGUUUGUUUCUCACAGCUAUAGAAAAUGUUUCUGGAUUGGUGUUUCUGAGCUGUAAAGGAACCCAAAGACAAUUAAAGCUACAUGCUAAACUUAUUAUGCUAGAGAGUGUACACGUGCAUUGAAGCUAACCAAAGGCCAAGUGUUUGUCUUAUGUUGGCCAUAUACCCUGUAAAGUAAACUUUGCAGGUCAUGUACCCUUUGGCUCAAACAAUGACUUUAGGCCAGAACUGAAGUACUGUUUGUCACUUUUGCAGCCGUUACAGUUACACACACAGGAGCCCCAUUGGAUAAAUUCAUCACUGUAUUAACUGUCCUUGUUAAUCACUGUCCUGUUCAUCACUGGUACUUCUGUCUGUUCACACCGCCCUCUAGUGGCGCAGUGAUGUAGUGCAAGAUAACAGGAAUGAAACUGUUGACACUGUUUUCUCUCCCUCCAGUUUUGCUCUGAAGGGUUUCUGUCAUCAGUACAGCUGUGAUCACCUGCGGUCUCGUACCUGCAGCCGAAUUACAGUCGAGCUGAUGAUGCUUAGAUAAUGAUAAUAUAGUUUUGAAACAUUUCAUCUUAUCACAAUUGGUCCUAAAUUUUAUGCUACAUUUUUAAAGUUCACACUUGGUGUACCAUGAAUACAUGAUACAUAUUUAAUGUUGUGAUUGACAGGAUGAGUUCCUCCUGAACUCUAAUUUAGAGCCUCAUUUAAAUACAGAAUGAGUUCAUUUGCAUAUUGAUCAGAUGCUUCAGUGCUCUGAGAGUGUUUAUAGUGCUGUGAGUUUAACACUUCAUCACUGACACACACAACAAUCUUCAUCAACAUGACCUUCAUCAUCAUCUUCAUCUGGACUCUCACAGCGUUUGCUCAAGAGUGUAGAGGACAGAUCACCGUCACUCAGAGUCCCUCAAUGACAGCAGCUCAACCAGGACAAACUGUGAACAUCAACUGUAAAACCAGCAGAGAUGUGUUCAGAUAUAGUGGGGAUGAUCGUUUAUUCUGGUACUUACAAAAACCUGGAGAAGCUCCUAAACUCUUGAUUCGUUUUGUAAAAUGGAACAUUGAAACUCCAUCUAGAUUCAGUGGCAGUGGAUCUAACAGUGAUUUCACUCUGACCAUCAGUGGAGUCCAGACUGAAGAUGCUGGACAUUAUUACUGUCAGAGUCUUCAUUGCAGAAGAGGUU